rnacentral:rRNA from 1 species
AGUAGUUUGACUCCGUGGCUCGAGAGCGAACGCUGGCGGCAGGCUUAACACAUGCAAGUCGAGCGGGCCCUUCGGGGUCAGCGGCAGACGGGUGAGUAACACGUGGGAACGUGCCCUUCGGUUCGGAAUAACUCAGGGAAACUUGAGCUAAUACCGGAUACGCCCUUUUGGGGAAAGGUUUACUGCCGAAGGAUCGGCCCGCGUCUGAUUAGCUAGUUGGUGGGGUAAUGGCCCACCAAGGCGACGAUCAGUAGCUGGUCUGAGAGGAUGAUCCGCCACACUGGGACUGAGACACGGCCCAGACUCCUACGGGAGGCAGCAGUGGGGAAUAUUGGACAAUGGGCGCAAGCCUGAUCCAGCCAUGCCGCGUGAGUGAUGAAGGCCUUAGGGUUGUAAAGCUCUUUCGACGGGGACGAUAAUGACGGUACCCGUAGAAGAAGCCCCGGCUAACUUCGUG